ACCACUGAUGAUGAUAUCACCGUGCUUGUUGACAACGGCUCCAGCAUGUGCAAGGCCGGCUUUGCAAGUGACGAUGCCCAUCCUGGGCCACCUUCCCCUCCAUCGUGGGGCACCCCAGGCACCAGGGUGUGAUUGUGGGCAUGGGUCAGAAGGACUCACGUGGGUGAUGAGGCCCAGAUCAAGAGAGGCAUCCUGACCCUGAAGUACCCCAUUCGAGCAGGACAUCGUCACCACCUGGGACGACAUGGAGAAGAUCUGGCACCACACCUUCUACAACGAGCUGUGUGUGGCUGCCAAGGAGCACCCCAUGCUGCUGACCAAGGCCCCCUGAACCCUAAGGCCAACCGCAAGAAGAUGACCCAGAUCAUGUUUGAGAUCUUCAACACACCAGUCAUGUACGUAGCCAUCCAGGCCGUGCUGCCCCUGUACACCUCUGGCCAUACCAUUGACAUCGUGAUGGACUCCAGUGACGGGGUCACCCACACUGUGCCCAUCUACAAGGAGUAUGCCCUCCCCUACGCCAUCUUGCAUGUGGACCUGGCUGGCCCGGACCUGAUUGACUACCUUAUGAAGAUCCUCACCUAGCACAGCUACAUCUUCACUGCCACAGCCAAGUGAGAAAUGGUGCAUGACAUCAAGGAGAGGCUGUGCUAUGUCACCCUGGACUUCGAGCAGGAGAGGGCCAUGGUGGCCUCCAGCUCCUCCCUGGAGAUAGCUACAAGCUGCCCGAUGGCCAGGUCAUCACCAUCGGCAACAAGCAGUUCCGCUGCCCCGAGGUGCUCUUCCAGCCUUCCUUCCUGGGCAUGGAAUCCUGUGGCAUCCAUGAAACUACCUUCAACUCCAUCAUGAAGUGUGAUGUGGACAUUCUCAAGGACCUGUAUGCCAACACAGUGCUGUCUGGCGGCACCACCAUGUACCCUGGCAUCGCUGAUAGGAUGCAGAAGAUCACCGCCCUGGUGCCCAGCAUGAUGUACAUCAAGAGUAUUGCUCCUGCCAAGCGCAGGUACUCCAUGUGAAUCGGCAGCUCCGUCCUGGCCCAGCUGUCCACCGUCCGGCAGAUGUGGCUCAGGAAGCAGGAAUACAACAAGUCAGACACCUCCAUCGUCCACCGCAAAUGCUUCUAG